rnacentral:tRNA from 8 species
GGUCCCGUAGUUCAAUGGAUAGAAUAUAAGAUUCCGGUUCUUACGAUAAAGGUUCGAUUCCUUUCGGGACUACCA